UUGAUCAUGGCUCAGAUUGAACGCUGGCGGCAGGCUUAACACAUGCAAGUCGAGCGGAGAGAGGUAGCUUGCUACUGAUCUUAGCGGCGGACGGGUGAGUAAUACUUAGGAAUCUGGCUAUUAGUGGGGGACAACAUUUCGAAAGGGAUGCUAAUACCGCAUACGUCCUACGGGAGAAAGCAGGGGAUCUUCGGACCUUGCGCUAAUAGAUGAGCCUAAGUCGGAUUAGCUAGUUGGUGGGGUAAAGGCCUACCAAGGCGACGAUCUGUAGCGGGUCUGAGAGGAUGAUCCGCCACACUGGGACUGAGACACGGCCCAGACUCCUACGGGAGGCAGCAGUGGGGAAUAUUGGACAAUGGGGGGAACCCUGAUCCAGCCAUGCCGCGUGUGUGAAGAAGGCCUUAUGGUUGUAAAGCACUUUAAGCGAGGAGGAGGGUACUGGUAUUAAUACUACCAGGUACUGGACGUUACUCGCAGAAUAAGCACCGGCUAACUCUGUGCCAGCAGCCGCGGUAAUACAGAGGGUGCGAGCGUUAAUCGGAUUUACUGGGCGUAAAGCGUGCGUAGGCGGCUAAUUGAGUCGGAUGUGA
rnacentral:rRNA from 1 species